UACGUAGGGUGCAAGCGUUGUCCGGAAUUAUUGGGCGUAAAGAGCUCGUAGGCGGUUUGUCGCGUCUGCUGUGAAAACCCGAGGCUCAACCCUCGGGCCUGCAGUGGGUACGGGCAGACUAGAGUGCGGUAGGGGAGAUUGGAAUUCCUGGUGUAGCGGUGGAAUGCGCAGAUAUCAGGAGGAACACCAAUGGCGAAGGCAGAUCUCUGGGCCGUAACUGACGCCGAGGAGCGAAAGCAUGGGGAGCCGAACAGG
rnacentral:rRNA from 1 species